GGCCUCCUGGUGCUCGCCCACAGGCUGUUCUUACACUGACUCCGGAGGAAGAGGAGGUAGAGUAAACCCACCCCAUACACACCUCCACCCAGGCCCUGGGCCUGGUCUGUAUUAUGAAAUGGGGGCAUAGAA
rnacentral:snoRNA from 1 species